rnacentral:rRNA from 1 species
UACGAAGGGGGCUAGCGUUGCUCGGAAUGACUGGGCGUAAAGGGCGCGUAGGCGGCUUGCACAGUCAGGCGUGAAAUUCCUGGGCUCAACCUGGGGACUGCGCUUGAGACGUGUGGGCUUGAGUGGGGAAGAGGGUCGUGGAAUUCCCAGUGUAGAGGUGAAAUUCGUAGAUAUUGGGAAGAACACCAGUGGCGAAGGCGGCUCACUGGUCCGGUACUGACGCUGAGGUGCGAAAGCGUGGGGAGCAAACAGG